GAUGAACGCUGGCGGCGUGCCUAACACAUGCAAGUCGAACGGAGAUGCGAUGUGAGCGAGAGGUGCUUGCACUGAUUAAUCUUUUCGUAUCUUAGUGGCGGACGGGUGAGUAACGCGUGGGUAACCUGCCUUAUACCGGGGGAUAACACUUAGAAAUAGGUGAUAAUACCGCAUAAGCGCACGGUGCCGCAUGACACAGUGUGAAAAACUCCGGUGGUAUAAGAUGGACCCGCGUCUGAUUAGCCAGUUGGCAGGGUAACGGCCUACCAAAGCGACGAUCAGUAGCCGGCCUGAGAGGGUGAACGGCCACAUUGGGACUGAGACACGGCCCAAACUCCUACGGGAGGCAGCAGUGGGGAAUAUUGCACAAUGGGGGAAACCCUGAUGCAGCGACGCCGCGUGAGUGAGGAAGUAUUUCGGUAUGUAAAGCUCUAUCAGCAGGGAAGAAGAAAUGACGGUACCUGACUAAGAAGCCCCGGCUAACUACGUGCCAGCAGCCGCGGUAA
rnacentral:rRNA from 1 species